rnacentral:rRNA from 1 species
UUGAUCCUGGCUCAGAACGAACGCUGGCGGCGUGCUUAAUACAUGCAAGUCGUGCGAGAAAGUACCCUUCGGGGUGCGAGUAGAGCGGCAAACGGGUGAGUAACACGUAAGUAACCUACCUCUAAAUCUGGAAUAACUCUGCCAACGCGGAGCUAAUACCGGAUGUGGUCACGAUGCUGCAUGGUAUUGUGACUAAAGGUGACCUCUCCUUGGAAGUUACCGUUUAGAGAUGGGCUUGCGGACCAUUAGCUAGUUGGUGAGGUAACGGCUCACCAAGGCUACGAUGGAUAGCCGGCCUAAGAGGGUGAUCGGCCACAUUGGGACUGAGAUACGGCCCAGACUCCUACGGGAGGCAGCAGUAGGGAAUUUUGCGCAAUGGACGAAAGUCUGACGCAGCAACGCCGCGUGAGGGAUGACGGCCUUCGGGUUGUAAACCUCUGUUGAGUGGGAAGAAAAGCUUUGUGGUUAAUAUCCACAGAGUCUGACGGUACCACUCGAGGAAGCUCCGGCUAACUACGUGCCAGCAGCCGCGGUAAUACGUAGGGGGCUAGCGUUGUUCGGAAUCACUGGGCGUAAAGGGAGUGUAGGCGGACCGGUAAGUUAGGAGUUAAAUGUACGGGCUCAACCCGUGAUCUGCUUUUAAUACUGUCGGUCUUGAGUAUGGGAGAGGGAGAUGGAAUUCCAGGUGUAGCGGUGGAAUGCGUAGAUAUCUGGAAGAACACCAGUUGCGAAGGCGGUCUCCUGGACCAAUACUGACGCUGAUGCUCGAAAGCUGGGGGAGCGAACAGGAUUAGAUACCCUGGUAGUCCCAGCCGUAAACGAUGGACACUAGUUGCCGGAGGAGUCAAUCCCUUCGGUGACGAAGCUAACGCAUUAAGUGUCCCCGCCUGGGGAGUACGCUCGCAAUGGUGAAACUCAAAGGAAUUGACGGAGGCCCGCACAAGCGGUGGAGCAUGUGGUUUAAUUCGAUGCAACGCGAGGAACCUUACCUGGAUUUGAACUGCAGAGGACCGAUCUAGAGAUAGAUCUUUUCCUUCGGGAACUUCUGUGGAGGUGCUGCAUGGCUGUCGUCAGCUCGUGCCGUGAGGUGUUGGGUUAAGUCCCGCAACGAGCGCAACCCCUGCCCCUAGUUACCAUCGGUUCGGCCGGGGACUUUAGGGGGACUGCCGGCGUCAAGCCGGAGGAAGGUGGGGACGACGUCAAGUCAUCAUGGCCUUUAUGUCCAGGGCUACACACGUGCUACAAUGGGCGGUACAAAGGGUUGCGAAGCCGCGAGGUGGAGCCAAUCCCAAAAAGCCGUCCUCAGUUCGGACUGCAGUCUGCAAUUCGACUGCAUGAAGUUGGAAUCGCUAGUAAUCGCGCAUCAGAAUGGCGCGGUGAUACGUUCCCGGGCCUUGUACACACCGCCCGUCACAUCACGAAAGUCGGUUGCACCAGAAGCCGGUGGCCAACAUUCGGGAGGCAGCUG